rnacentral:piRNA from 1 species
UAGACUUGAAAGACCCAGCCAGAACUGGAAU